UGUUUCGUUAUAUCAUGUCCAUCAUGUGACACCCGGAGGCCUCUCUAUGGAAACUUAAAGGGGACUUUCACGUCCGCCGCCGCCGGACCUGCCGGUACCCCCGUGGGGCUGCGAGCCCUGCCGGUGCCCGCCUGCCCUCCCUCCGCUACCUCCCUUCCCGGGGGGCUGCGCUCCCUCCGCUACCUCCCUUCCCGGGGGGCUGCGCUCCGUGGUCCUUCCGCCCUUUGCUUAAAGCAAGUUGCUGCGCUUCCUUCUUCUAUUAUUAUUUAUUAGGGGUUGGUUUGGUGUUUGUGUUUUAGGUUGUUUUGGUCUUUUCUUGCUUUUUCCCCUUCUCUUUUCGCAGAAAGGAAUAGCCGGGGAAUAAACGGCCGGGCAGGCACCGUGCGGAAGGAUGGGCCCCGCUCCUGGAGGCUGCGGGAUCCGGUGCUCGUCUGCGGCCGCGGCGAGUCGGGUUCUGGAAGCGGCAGAAAAAACAAAAAAUCCAAAUCAACCAAAAGAAAAAAAACCAAAAUAAAUAAGGCGGAAAAACCUCUUGUUUGUGUCGGAGGGAAGAGGAGCAGAUGUGAGCGGUUCUGCCCGUGCGGGGUCGAUGCGGUGAUCGCUACCGCCGCGUUUAACUCUGCCGGUCGGUAGCGAAGCGAUUUCGCCGUCGCGACCCGUCGCACCGCCGGCUCCCGACAGCCGGCUCUGUGCCGAGCUGCUGGAAGGAGCCGCUUCUAGGGAUGUGCGCUGGCCACUGCAACACUACCAGCAAGCAGCCAGCCCUCACAGAAAGAAAAGGGGAAGAUGCCGACAAUUACCCGUGGUUCGGACAGCCCCCGGUUCCCCGCGCAUCUCGCUGCCCGGCCGCAGCCGCCGGGGGUUCGGGGCCGGCCGGCGGCAGCGCCGCGCUCCUCCGGCUGCUGUUCCGCCUUCGGUGCUGAAGUGGGUUUUAUUCCCUGCUCUCCACCAGCCCCCAGGAUUUGGGUUCAGGGAGCUGAAGCCCACCCGUUCCACGGUCCCACCACCGGGCUGACAACGCGCAGGGGGCUCUGGGGGUUUUCCCCAUGGAAGGUUCCUGCAGGAGGCCUCCAAAUUCUGUUCCUUAACUGGUGGCAUCACAUCGAUGUUGGUAAUCAAGUGCAAGGCUUUAGGGGCUAGACUGAGAAGAAGGAGAUAGAUUUGUUGUUUAAAACUGAAGGAGGAAAAGCAAUCCCGCAUUCACUCCUUCCUUACAGCCUCCAUCAGCCCCUCAACAGAUUAAAAAAGCAUGAUCCACAAAUGCAGUAAAUUUUAAGUUGGGGAUUUAAUUUUUUUAUGUCCCACCACGUUUUCUUUAAGGAAGUAAUAUAAACGACUUUUUUCCAGCUGCUGGGUUGGUGAUGAUGGCUGUCAGCCACUGGAGGGGACUGGAGCCACCCGGCCACUCGGCACAGGCCCAAUUCUGCAGGGACAGUGGAUCAUCUCCCUUAGCUCUCCCAUUUGUGCUUUGGACUUGAAAUACCUGUUCUUUGCCCCACUCAUUUCCAGGUGCCCAUGCAAUGGGCUCUGUAUUUAAAAGAUCAGUGUUUCAGAUAUCUCUACUAUUAUUUUUUAAUUUUUUUAAUUUUUUUUUUUUAGUUUUGUAAAAAUUACUAAUGAUUUUAGCUGAAAAGAGUUAACAGACUGAGGAGCAGUUCAUCCUUCUUUCCUUACUUCUUCUCAGUCUUCCUUCUAUCCACCCUACACUCUGUUUAUGUUUAUCUCUCUUUCCCAUCCAAUUUUGGGGGAAUUUCCUCUCUGGGCUCCUUUCUGCCGUUUAUCCAGGCUGUCCCACUGCUGUGGAGCCUAAGUACAAUUUGCCUUGCUUCCCGUAUCUCUGGGCCUCCUUUCCCUGCCUCACUAAGCCUCUUUUUAUUCCGUAUUCCCUUCUUCAGAUCAUCCUUAAAGGAGGAAGAGGCUGGAGCUGGGAUUUAAAGUAGUCUUUUAGGAGUACUGCCAGAACUGAUCUGUUUUACUCUGCUGCUGCUGCUGUUGCUGUUCUGCUGUGUCAUGGGAAGAGUUUCCUCUCCACACCAACCCUUGGAAGCGGCACCUCGGGCAGAGCCACUCGCUGCAAACCCCGGCCGUGUUUUACAAAGCCCUGGCCGGCUGCUCGCUCGCUAUUCCCUGUUAUUUGUGUGGGUCGUAAGCUCAGCAACAGAUGAGAAUAAAUGCUAAUAUUUCUUUAGGCUGCCUCCCUAAGGAAAUAAAGGUUCUGCUGCGCUACUUUUCUGUGCAGCUACACCUUUCUGGGAGCAGCCACUGGAGGGGGGACACCCUGAUGCUGCACGUACCAUACGUGUUCAUCUCCAUUGCAAUUAGUUUGAUGCAACUAACAGCUCCAGCGUGACAAACUCCAGGCUAAAAAAAGCCAGGACUUCAUCUGCAUAAACUGGAUGCACAAAGUAUGUAUUGUGUGUCACCUCCCUUAUGUCCCACAUUUGUUCCUGCAGCAAAUGGCAUAUGCUCCAGCAGUACCACGUGGUCUGAACGGACUCCUGGAAAUACAGCAGGGAUCUGAUGCUGGUAGUCUUUGAAAUUAAGACAUUAAUUGCGAUCCUGCUUAUGGACUUCUUCUGGAAGGAAGAUUUUUGCAUAUAAAUUAAGAUUCAUUGUCCUCUGAUGAAUAAUCUAUAAAACUGGAGUCACCCUCUCCAUCGAUGAGCAAGUUAUUAUUUCUGGUUUAGCUGUUAGACACCAACUGGGACCAGAGGCCUCGUUCUCCUGGCCACUGUGUAGUCACACCCAAGAAGAUAACCUCUGCCUUCAAGAGCUUACAAAGCAGAACAACAAAAGAGGGAGCAAUAUAACACUCAGGCAGAGCAAACACAGUGACCUUUUGCAAAUGUCAAGUUAAUACCAUGAUCUGGAAGUGGAAGGGACUCAUCAGAGGGUGGGUGGGUCAAUGAAGACGGGACACACUUCAGAGCAGGGGGAUGAGAUGAAGGAAAAGCCACAGCAGAAGCUGCAUGGUGUGAGAUGCAGAAGGAAGUGCAUGCAGAGCAUUCUGUGGUCAAUUGGCACAUCCAGGAUAAAAAACAGGGGAACGAAUCUGAUGACCCCAGCCACAGCUCACAGAAUAACCAGCUCCCCAAAGUCUCACAGCCUGGAGAAGGGAGCUAGAGAGAGCAGGGGUGGACAGAGCAGUUCCUCCUAAGUGUGGGUUCUGCACUGGCGGCUGGAGGUGUGAUAACCCUGUUUUGGGGCUGUUGCUCUCCGUGGCUCAGCCUCCUGCAGCUGUGUUUGCUGCAGCUGAGCCUCAGGGCUGGAGUGAGAUGUAGUUCAGCUCUAAGCUGCUCCAAGUCCAGGGCAGCACAUAAUUGAAUAUUAACGGAGCAGCUCUAGGAGCUGCUGGGAUUCAGGAAGUCACAAUUCCUUCUCUGCUGCUCCUUUGCCUUCGUGGGAGGUGAUUGCUGGAGGCCUUAAUGGAUGUGAGACAUAAUACGCUUCCCUCACAUUAGCCCCAGUUAGCAACCUGAGGCUUUAACCACAUCCUACCCUCUCUGAUCAUUUCCUCAUGCACCUCUUGAGCAACAUGAGAAGUGCAGUAGCUGCAGCCAGCCCAGCGACCAAGCAGAGAGGUGCAGAGACUAUAUGAACACUGAUUUCACACCUCAUCUCCCCAGUGAACAAAGGGGUCCCACCUUUAAGGAGCAUCAAAAUUUACUAAAUAUACAUUAUUGAAUUCCUGGUCUCUGUAUCAUCCUCCUGCAAGCAGGAAUUAUUUAGUUGCUGGGUGGGGAUGCCAUGAGCAUCAUACAAGAUCCAUAAAGUGAUAUUUAAGUUGAAAAUCUUUGGUACCGUGCCUUUAUUAAAUAUUCAAGGUAAAAUACAGCAGCAGGUUCAUAGGCACUAGGGUCUCUCCAUGCUGCCUGACCAGCUGAACUGACUAGUUGCCCUGUCUAAAAAUAUGGAUGGAUAUCUUUCCCUCCUCAAAUUCAUGCUUCACUGAGAAGUUCAGUCUGUAGUCAUGCUACUUUUAUGGAGGAAGCAAAGUGCUUUACAAGAAAAGAGAUGCCCACAGAAACCCAUCCCUGCCAUCUGAUCAUUCAGAACUUGGUGUAAGUCUAACAAGGAGGAAGGCAACAUGUUCAGAGUACCAGAAAAUUCCCUAAGACCCUGAGGGACGUGCUUAACAUCAAUCAAAGUCUAAAGUUCCUCCUCUUGUCUUAGUCUCUUUUCCCUUUUUUUUUUCUCUCCUUUUUCUCACUUUAAAAUUCACAAUAUCCUUGACUUAUCAUUUUCCUUCAAGUCCACCAGUACUUGUUUAUUACAUAAUUGCUUUCUUUUUCAAAAAACAUGCUCCUCUAUCUCCCUUUUUUCAUUAGUUGAAGUACAAUGGACUCUACCAUGAGACUGCUCCUGGUUUUGUUUGAUUUCUCUUUUCCUUUAUCACUACCCAGAGACAUCCAGCAGAUUGUUUCAUAAUCUUCCUAGAGUUCAGAGAAAGUAUAUUUCUUCCAGAUAGGAAUAUAGCCUGCAAACGUCCUCCUCCUUUUUCCUCACCACCUGCUCCUCUUGAACAACACUUCUGGCAAACUUUAUCCAUGUAUUUUUCCUUUAUUCACAAAUUAGAUAUUCCUUUUUAGGGAAAAGUGAGGAACACACUGUUUCCCUGGCAUGCAACGUGUGUUUUUGAAUGGCUUCUUUGCUCUCCAGCAUGCUCCUGAAUUUUUGGAGCCCUCAGGAGCAAGGACCUCAUCACCACAUUCAGCCCCAGCAGCCACAUGCUGUCUGUGGGAGGUCUGCAGAAAAGGAGGCUCUUCAUUCUGCUUGUGGUGCAUUAGGGAAGAGAAUUGGUGGAGCUCUGCAAUGCACAGGAGGAAGGAUUGCUUUUGUUAUUGGUCAGGGAAUCUCUGUGCUGCAUUUGGUAUCACUGGCUUCCUGCUGUUGUUGGAUAAUUAAUUAACACCAACAGAGUGUUUGAAGCUCUGCUAAAGUGCAAACACAGGAUUAGCAUCAAUAUUUCACAUUCUGGUCAGGCAUGGGGAAGAUGGAAGCACUGUCACACCUUGAGGAGACAGUCAUGGAACAGAGGAGAUGGAGAAAGACCACGAAUUUUCCUUGGUGCCCUGAGCAGGAUCCAAACAUCCCUGAGAGAAGCUGAUCAACUUCCAGAGAAAAAUACUUACAAAUUGAUUUAGAAAUUAUAAUUCAAAGAAAUUUGCUUUGAAUUAGAAAGCUUUUGAGUUUAAUUUGUGGAGUCUUCUUCUUUCCCAGCUAUCCAGUAACAACAAUCUUUGCAAAUUUAUUUCUGUGGGACCCAGAACAAUUGUCAAUAACCUUUUUAUAAGUCUUCUAUACCUUGAAGGCAGUUUUCAUCUUCUCACAUGUUUUUCCCUUCUGGAAAAAGCAACGAAAAUCCUCCAAUUGUUUUGAACCACUCAUCAUUCUCAUUGCUUUCCUUCAGCCCCUGUAUGAUUUGUCUGACAUUCUUCUACCUUCUCCUAGCACAGCAUCCAAAUCCCCACCUGGUAUUUCCUUGUUAGAGUGGAAUCAUUGCUUCUGAUGUUUUCCUCUUGUUCAUAUGCUCCAGAAUAAGAUUUGCUGUAUUUUGCAACAGCUGUGUCCUCACCAGUGCCUCUUUCACAGCUCUUUUUUAUUGAAUGCCUGCUUGACCAGCAUCUUACCACUUUGCAUUGACAUAUUUUGUUGCCUUUUACCUUACCAAAUCUGGUUGAUUUUAUAUUAUUACUCAAAUUUCCCAGCCACAUUUUGGAACACAUUCUCUGGAGUAUUUAUAUAGUCUUUAUUUUGUCUUCCAAAUCACUAAUGAAAAUAUUAGAAUCAGGUCCAGGAGCAAACCCUGAGGGAGCCCUUUUGGAAAACCUUCUAAAUCCAAAGGAAAGGAAUUAGUAAUUCUUAUGUGAAUACGUUUAUUUUCUGUCAAGUAUGUCUUAAGAUGAUUUCACAGAGAUCAUAGUUCCUGGUCAGCUUACGGAAAUGUCAUGUGAAAUGGUGUUAAAACUCUGCUUCUUUCAAAAUACAUGACAUAUGCUCCCUCUUCCUUAUUCUACAGCACAGUUGUUGAGUUCAAGGAUGGAAACUGGAUGGUUUUAACAUCACUCCUCCAUGACAAAUCAAGCCUGACUGACUGUAUGUUUUUCUAUUGUCAGUCAAAUGCUCACAAAGAGAUCAUUGCACAGUUUAUUGUAUUACAGUUUUUGCAUUACAUGCUGAACUGGCUGCUGUGUAGUUCCCCAAGUCUUGCUUCCCCUUCUUUAAAGACAGGCACUGUGUUUGCCCUUCUCACAUCCUCUGGGAUCGCCUCCCUUCUCCAUGAGCUCUUGCAGAUAAUUACUCAUGAGUCAGAUUGCUCUGCCCAGUGCCUGAAGUGCUCUAGAGGGAACUUCAUCCAGUCCUGCUGACUUGAAUUUGCCUAACUUCUCUGAAUGAUUUUAGCAGUGUUUAUUUGCUAGUUUGGAUUGUCUUAUCCUCUGCAGUAAAAGUGGUCCUGAUAAAUACCAGUUCAUAAUCUUUUUUUAAAAUAUUUUAUUUUUCUCCAUAGCUAAAGCAUAAAAACUAAUGAAUGCUCCAGUCUUUUCUCUGUUGUUAUUCCUGUUCUCUCAUUUUCCAUUAAUUCAGUUAUAUAUAAUUUCCAUUGCCUUCCUCCUAUUUCAAUAUCGUUACAGAGCAUCCUUUUAUCGCCCUCUAUAUCCCUUCCUAAUUGAAACUCAUUUUGCCCCUGUUUUUUCUCAUUUUAAUCCUCCACAGUCACACUAUUCUUUUACGGAUGUAGUCUGUAAAAGACAAGUUCCUAGUCUUUUUUUCCACCUUAGUACAUACAACUUGAUGUUAUUCCUCCUUUUUCUGCUUCCCUCACUCCUUCCUUUCCUUGGAGGAAGAUGUUCCAUUGUUUUGCUACGGCUUUCAACUUAAUUAACCCCCACCUUCCUGUCCUCACCAAUCUCCUCCCCGUUAGUCAGUCCAAUCCCAAAGAGCUCCAAUGCCCUUGUCCCACAGGAACUUUGCUCCAUCAUUUGCACUUCUGUUCCCUCCAAAGACAGUUUCACACCCUCCUGCUGGGCUUGCAAAGCAGUUUUUGUACAGUCCCUCUUUGCAGAGCAAAGAGGCUCAUUUGCCAGAUAGAAAACCAUUAUUCAUUUUACUCCAUUUUUGCAGAUCUAAUUAAUGAUCAGUUUGUCUCUUAAAUCCUUGUUCACCUCUGCAAUACGCCAGUCCUUACCCUGUCUUUUUUCUCCAUCCAGAAGGAUUGGAAGAGGACAUUUCCCAUCCCCUCAUCUCUUUCCCUCCUCUUCCCAGGGUCUGCAUUUAAAGCUAGGAGGCUUCAUUAAAACCCUUUCUAGGGUAGUAGAUGAGGAUGAUGCUCCUGCAGGCACUACAGAGAUCACCUGCCUGCUGAGGCUCCCCUCUCCAGCUCAGUGUGAGACCAAGAAGGCUUUUAGGAAAUGCAAUUAAGGGGUCUGAGUGCACCAUGUGCUGAAGCAUCCCUUUACCCUUUCAGAUUUAUAGUGCCCAGUACACAGAUGGCAUUUUUUUUUCCCCACCAAAAAUUGUGCUGCUAUCUUUUAAUAAAUCAGACAACAAACCCAGGCCUAUGUGAGAUGUAUUAAAUUAAAUCCCCAGCUCUCUGGGUCACCGUUCCUCAUAAAAUGAUUACAUCUCUAAACAAGGAAGAACACAAACCUACAAGGUCAUAGAGACCUACAGUUCCAUGUAGAUCCACCUGCCUCUUCUUUCUCAUUAACUGCACACAGCUGACUCUUGCUCAAGGCUUUCCUUAGGCUCUCCAGGCUCAUGGGCACUCUCCACUGAGCAGGUCCAAGGACUGAGGUAGCAUUUAAGCUCAGUGGAUAUAUCUGCCCACUUCUAUUUUGGCAGAGAGCAUUAAACAAGCAGUUCUCGAUGUCUGAGCAGUCUGUUCCACAUUAGAGGGGCUACUGGUGAAGCUGAACAUUUCUCCACAGUGGAGGCAGCCCUGGGCCCACAGAGAGCACUUGGUGGGACCCAGAAGUGUAGAGGUUAUUAAGGUAACGAGGCUUUUUGCUGUCAUUAACUGCCUAUAGGAGAUUAUUGAAAAGACAACACCAGAUUUUGCUUGAAGGUGCAGAGUGAUGGGACGAGAGAAAAUCAACCCAAGGGGCAGAAAAGGAUGAUAAAAUUAGAUAUUAGGAGGGGGAAAAAUACAACUAAAAUAGUUAAUUACUAGAACAGGAGUCCAGAGAGCUUUUGGGAUCUCCAUCCUUGCAAAACUUCCCUGGGAAGGGCUCUGGGAAAUCUGAUGGAAGGAUGUGAGAGAGGAGCCUGGAGAUUCCUGAAGGUCUUUCCCUCCCCAAAUCUCUGUGAUGCUGAAAUCCUGUAUGAGUGGGUCUGGGGCAGUCCUGUUGCUGUCCUGCUCAUUCCAGCUGAUUGCCAACAAAAUUAUAAAGCUGCCUGAGUGUGUUGGUUCUGUUCUGCAUAAAUUUGUAAGGAGAAUCCAAAGACUUUGCAGAAUCCAAAGACUGUAUAAUAGGAAAAUCACAGGUAAUUACAAAUUCAUUGGUUUAAACCUGAUCCCAAACAGCAUCAAAGAAAAUCUGAUACAGGCUGUGAUUAGUAAUGAAUUAAAGGAUGCUAACCUGAUUGAUAUGCCUGAACAGUUUUAUGGAAAGUCUGUCAUGUCAAACAAAUGAAUGUUUUUUUAAUGAGAAUGUAAGUUUGGUUAAUAA